GGGAGGCAGGCCAGUACAGCCCGAUCCGGUUGGGGAGAGUUUUAGCACGACCAGGCUCCUCUCCUUAACCUGUCUCUUAGUUAUGUUGUUAUAGUUCUAGACUGUCGGGGAAGUCCCUUCCUUCCUGUGACACACUGAGCUGCUCUCUCCUCUCUCUUUCCAUUUCUUGUAUUAUUACUAUUUG